rnacentral:rRNA from 1 species
ACGCUUCUCCAUUUAUUCUU